AGUGAACGCUGGCGGUAGGCCUAACACAUGCAAGUCGAACGGCAGCACAGAGGAGCUUGCUCCUUGGUUGGCGAGUGGUGGACGGGUGAGGAAUACAUCGGAAUCUACUCUGUAGUGGGGGAUAACGCAGGGAAACUUACGCUAAUACCGCAUACGACCUACGGGGGAAAGCAGGGGACCUUCGGGCCGUGGGCGAAUGCACGAGCCGAUGUCGGAUUAGUUAGUUGGGGGGGUAAAGGCCCACCAAGGCGACGAGCCGUAGCUGGUCUGAGAGGAUGGUCAGCCACACUGGAACUGAGACACGGUCCAGACUCCUUCGGGAGGCAGCAGUGGGGAAUAUUGGACAAUGGGCGCAAGCCUGAUCCAGCCAUACCGCGUGGGUGAAGAAGGCCUUCGGGUUGUGAAGCCCUUUUGUUGGGAAAGAAAUCCAGCUGGCUAAUACCCGGUUGGGAUGACGGUACCCAAAGAAUAAGCACCGGCUAACUUCGUGCCAGCAGCCGCCGUAA
rnacentral:rRNA from 1 species